AGUUCUCGCCCAGUCCGAGGCGCACUGCUUUGUAUUCACUGUCGGUCCACUUACAGCUGAAGGGUCAUCCUCGAGACGCAGAAAUGCUCCUCCCAGCCAGACACCCAGAGCGUUUUAAGACUCAUCAACUUUGAAAGACUUCUGCAAUUUACAGCACAUGAAGAGGAAUACGUAUGGAAAAGGAAACCAGGCAGCUGUAUUGGCCCAGUUUGGGUGUAUCUAUGUCCGUCAAGACCAGAUUCUGACCAACCUGCCUGAUGCUGUCAUCUAACUUGACAUCCUCCAUCUCUUCAUUUUCAACCUUCCAUGUGACGGCUUCGUCGGUCUUUG